rnacentral:rRNA from 1 species
GACAGAGGGGGCGAGCGAUGUUCGGACUCACUGGGCUUAAAGGGCGAGUAGGCGGUAGGGCAAGUCUGAGGUGGAAUCCUAUGGCCCAACCAUAGACCUGCCUUGGAAACUGUUCUACUUGAGUCAGUGAGGGGAGGGCGGAAUUCCCGGUGUAGCGGUGAAAUGCGUAGAUAUCGGGAGGAAGGCCGGUGGCGAAGGCGGCCCGCGGGCGCUGUACGGACGCUGAGGCGCGAAAGCGUGGGGAGCAAACAGG